UCUCCGUUGGUGAACCAGCGGAGGGAUCAUUACAGGACUCGCAAGACUCCUUCACCCUGUGAACCUCACUACAAGCACGUUGCUUCGGCGGGUGUCCCGGCGGGGGUUUUCCCUCGCCGGGGCGCACAGCCCGCCGGCAACCUACUAUACUCUGUCUCUUUGCGUUGGCAUCUCGAGAAAAAACAAACAAGUUAAAACUUUCAACAACGGAUCUCUUGGUUCUG
rnacentral:misc_RNA from 1 species